ACCAAAUGCCAGUGGGGCAUUUGUUCACUGCCUUUACCAUUAAUCCAUAGACAUGUUUGCAAGACUGCGCAGGAUGCUUUGGAGAGAGAAUGGAGAGCAUAAAGAGACCAGAGAGAAGUAGAAAGAAGCUGGCCUUCAACCUCAGUGUCAGACACUGGGAAAUAAGUGGUCAUGGGGAAGGCACAGACCACUCCUCAGGCUCCUGUCACACCAUCAUCUGAAUCACCAUUGCAAGAAGAUUUCGUGAGUCCCUUGGGAUUUCUUAAAGGGAGGAAUUAGUUAAAAGAAAGUUUUUUUCCCACAUUAAAAAAGGGGAAACAUU